AUUGAACGCUGGCGGCAGGCCUAACACAUGCAAGUCGAACGGUAACAGGAAGAAUCUUGCUUCUUUGCUGACGAGUGGCGGACGGGUGAGUAAUGUCUGGGAAACUGCCUGAUGGAGGGGGAUAACUACUGGAAACGGUAGCUAAUACCGCAUAACGUCGCAAGACCAAAGAGGGGGACCUUCGGGCCUCUUGCCAUCGGAUGUGCCCAGAUGGGAUUAGCUAGUAGGUGGGGUAACGGCUCACCUAGGCGACGAUCCCUAGCUGGUCUGAGAGGAUGACCAGCCACACUGGAACUGAGACACGGUCCGGACUCCUACGGGAGGCAGCAGUGGGGAAUAUUGCACAAUGGGCGCAAGCCUGAUGCAGCCAUGCCGCGUGUAUGAAGAAGGCCUUCGGGUUGUAAAGUACUUUCAGCGGGGAGGAAGGGAGUAAAGUUAAUACCUUUGCUCAUUGACGUUACCAGCAGAAGAAGCACCGGCUAACUCCGUG
rnacentral:rRNA from 1 species